GACGAACGCUGGCGGCGUGCCUAACACAUGCAAGUCGAGCGGUAAGGCCCUUUCGGGGGUACACGAGCGGCGAACGGGUGAGUAACACGUGGGUGACCUGCCCUCAGCUCUGGGAUAAGCCUGGGAAACUGGGUCUAAUACCGGAUAUGACUCCAUGACGCAUGUUGUGGGGUGAAAGCCUUGUGCGGCUGAGGAUGGGCCCGCGGCCUAUCAGCUUGUUGGUGGGGUGANGGCCUACCAAGGCGACGACGGGUAGCCGGCCUGAGAGGGCGACCGGCCACACUGGGACUGAGACACGGCCCAGACUCCUACGGGAGGCAGCAGUGGGGAAUCUUGCGCAAUGGGCGAAAGCCUGACGCAGCGACGCCGCGUGAGGGAUGACGGCCUGG
rnacentral:rRNA from 1 species